GACGAACGCUGGCGGCGUGCUUAACACAUGCAAGUCGAGCGGUAAGGCCUUUUCGGGGGUACACGAGCGGCGAACGGGUGAGUAACACGUGGGUGACCUGCCCUCAGCUCUGGGAUAAGCCUGGGAAACCGGGUCUAAUACUGGAUAUGACUCCAUGACGCAUGUUGUGGGGUGGAAAGCCUUGUGCGGCUGAGGAUGGGCCCGCGGCCUAUCAGCUUGUUGGUGGGGUGANGGCCUACCAAGGCGACGACGGGUAGCCGGCCUGAGAGGGCGACCGGCCACACUGGGACUGAGACACGGCCCAGACUCCUACGGGAGGCAGCAGUGGGGAAUCUUGCGCAAUGGGCGAAAGCCUGACGCAGCGACGCCGCGUGAGGGAUGACGGCC
rnacentral:rRNA from 1 species